rnacentral:rRNA from 1 species
GACGAACGCUGGCGGCGUGCUUAACACAUGCAAGUCGAACGGUGACCCAGGGCUUGCCCUGGUGAUCAGUGGCGAACGGGUGAGUAACACGUGGGCAACCUGCCCCUGACUUCGGGAUAACUCCUCGAAAGAGGAGCUAAUACCGGAUACGACCACUUCGGACAUCCGAUGGUGGUGGAAAGUUUUUCGGUCAGGGAUGGGCCCGCGGCCUAUCAGCUAGUUGGUGGGGUAAUGGCCUACCAAGGCGACGACGGGUAGCCGGCCUGAGAGGGCGACCGGGCCACACUGGGACUGAGACACGGGCCCAGACUCCUACGGGAGGCAGCAGUGGGGAAUAUUGCGCAAUGGGCGAAAGCCUGACGCAGCGACGCCGCGUGAGGGAUGAAGGCCUUCGGGUUGUAACCGU